CAAUAGCGUAUAUUAAAGUUGUUGCAGUUAAAAAGCUCGUAGUUGGAUUUCUGGUAGGAGCGACCGUGCCGAACUUGAUUGUUCGAGUAUUGUGUUGUCUUCAGCCAUCCUCGUGGAGAACUUUUCUAACAUUAACUUGUUGGGAUUGGGACCCGCGUCGUUUACUGUGAAAAAAUUAGAGUGUUUAAAGCAGGCAUUAGCUUGAAUACAUUAGCAUGGAAUAAUAAGAUAGGACUUUGGUACUAUUUUGUUGGUUUGCAUACCAAAUUAAUGAUCAACAGGAACAGUUCGAGGAUAUUCGUAUGAACAUGUCAGAGGUGAAAUUCUUGGAUUUUGAUCAGACGAACUACUGCGAAAGCAUUUAUCAAGGAUGUUUUCAUUAA
rnacentral:rRNA from 1 species